rnacentral:rRNA from 1 species
AACGUAGGACGCAAGCGUUAUCCGGAUUUACUGGGCGUAAAGCGCGGGCAGGCGGCUCUGUAAGUCUGAUGUGAAAGCGCCCGGCUCAACCGGGCGAGGCCAUUGGAAACUACAGAGCUGGAGGGCAGUAGAGGCAGGCGGAAUUCCGGGUGGAGUGGUGAAAUGCGUAGAGAUCCGGAGGAACACCAGAGGCGAAGGCGGCCUGCUGGGCUGCACCUGACGCUGAGCCGCGAAAGCCAGGGGAGCGAACGGG